rnacentral:tRNA from 1 species
GCCACCCUAGCUCAGCUGGUAGAGCAUCGCAUUCGUAAUGCGAGGGUCGGGGGUUCGAGUCCCCUGGGUGGCU